UGCGAUUGGCCGUUCCUCGCCGAGAGCCCAUUGGGCACAAGCACAGGAACCCUAGCCCCAACCCACAGCCGCCACAUUUCCUCACUUCCUCAUCCACCCCGGCACCCCAUCGCUCCCCCUAUCGUCACCACGGCCUCCGCCCUAUGAUCUCCGCUGCCUCACGCGCGGUCAUCCUCUCAUCUCUCGUGCCACCACCGCCGACCCCUGCCAAGCCGUUGCGGCGCUCUUCCCAAGCCCUCGCCUCCCGUCUCACCAAGCCCUUGAUGCCGGCCCCGUCAGCAUGCCAAGGUGAUGCAGCGACGGCCGCGCUCGACACUGUCCUUCAUCGGUGGGGGUCCAGCGCCUGCGGGAGUAAGCAGAAGAGAUUGGUGGAGCGGCGGAUGCGGGCGGGCAGGGUCAGCGGUUGGGGAAAGCUCGUCGGCUGGAGCACUAGGAACGAAGGAUCUCAAGGUGGUUCAGGAUUUCCUCUCUUCUAUACGCAGGGUGCUGUAACACCCCAGGAAGAGAGGGAGAGGGAGAGGGAGAGGAUCCAGAUCGCGCUGGGGGAGGAGAGGUUGGCUUGGAGAGGAAGGAGGAGGAGAUGGAUUGCAGAGGGAAGAUUAAGAUUCAGAGUACAAUGCACGCAUACUCACACCCGGCCACAGGCGGCCAAUUUAACCCCACACACGCACGCCACUUGUCUGGCCAGCUGGCUGGGCCCACCAGCCAGCUCUUAGGCGCACUAACCACUGGUUAGGUGUGACAUUCCUCCCUCCUUGAGCUGUGUCCUCAUCUUCUUCGUCAGUAUCGUCGUCGUUCUCCGCCUCCGCCCACAGUGAUGCCGUUGGAAAGCGGUUGCGCAGCACGUCGUGGUCCUCCCAUGUCGUCGGCGCGGAGUCGCCGGUGCCCCACUGCACCUUGAGCUGCACCACCGGCACGUCGCCGCGCUUCAUCAUGCCCCUGUCCAGGAUGCGGGUCGGUAGGAGGUUGUCGACGGAGAGGUCCGGCGCCUUGGGAAGUUCACCGUACACCGGCGUAUAGUCGGGGGUGAAGGGCUUCAGUUGUGACACGUGAAAGAUAGGGUGCACUUGGCUUUCUGGCGUCAGGUCGAGCUUGUAAGCGAGUGCGCCAAUCUUCUCGGUGAUCUUGAACGGGCCAAAGUACUUAAAGGCGAGCUUGGCGCAGGGGCGAUUGACCACCGAACGCUGCCCAUACGGCUGGAGCUUGAGCAACACUUGUUCGCCCUCCUGAAAGUGCCUCUCUGUGCGGUUGCGGUCAGCGUUCUUCUUGAAUCGGUGCUGUGCGCGCUCCAGCUGUGCGCGAAUGUGCGCGGUGUGCGCCGCCCAAUCCAACUCCUCGCCGGCCGGCGCCGACUCCGCCCAAGAAGCCAUGGCGCCCAGGUUAGCUUCCGUGCCGUAGAGGGCCUUGAAGGGAGUGCCUUUGAGUGACGCAUGGAAGGUGGAAUUGUACCAGAACUCCGCCAUUGGCAGCCACCGGCGCCAUUGGUGCGGCGAGUCUUGGACAGCGCAUCGGAGGUACAUCUCCAUGCACUGAUUCACCCUUUCACUCUGGCCGUCGGUCUGAGGGUGAUAGGCUGUCGAGUACAGCAGUUUGGUGCCAGCGCCCGCGAGCAGCUCGCGCCAGAGGUGGCUUGUGAAGAUCUUGUCGCGAUCGGAGACGAUGGACACCGGAAUGCCGUGCAGCUUCACCACGUUCUCCCAGAAGGCGCGCGCCACCUGCUUGGCGUUGAAGGGGUGGCGGAGAGGGACAAAGUGGGCGAACUUGGUGAAGCGGUCGACGACCACCAUGAUCGUGUCGUGUCCUUCGGAGCGCGGUAGCCCCUCCACGAAGUCCAUGGUGAGGUCCUGCCAUGGCGCCGUUGGAAUGGGCAGCGGGGCGAGGAGGCCCGCCGGCUUGACAUGCUCGUGCUUGGCCUGCUGGCACACGGUGCACUGCUGCACGAACUCGGCGACGUCGCGCUUGAGGCCGCGCCAGUCGAAGUGUUUGCGCACGCGCUGGUAGGUGGCAGUGGAGCCGGAGUGACCACCCACCGCACUGCAGUGCAGCGCGGCGAUGAGCUUGGUGCGCAGGGCCGAAUUGGCCCCGAUCCAGAGGCGCCCCUGGCGCCUGAUGAUGCCACGGUAGAGCUCGUAGCCUUGAUCGUCCGGGCUGUGGAUCGCCAGUUGUUGCAGUCGUUCCUGGGCGUUAGCGUCAGUGGCAUAUGAGUUGGCCACCUCCUGCACCCAGUCGGGCUGGCACGUCGAGAGCGCGGCCAGUUCGAACUGUUUGCCCACUCGCGAGAGCGCGUCAGCUGCGCCGUUGUCCAGCCCCCUUCUGUACUGAAAACGGAACUGUAAUCCCACCAGCUUCGCCAUGGCCUUGCGCUGGAGCUCUGUCUCCAGGUGUUGUUCGCCUAGAUUACAGAGAGAUUUGUGAUCCGUGAUGAUGUCGAAGGGGCCGCGCUGCAAGUACUGACGCCACUUGUCGACGGCCAUCAUCACGGCGAGGAAUUCCUUCUCAUAAGUGGAUAGCUUCUGGUUGCGAACGCCGAGCACCUUGCUGAAGUAUGCGACCGGGUGCCCAUCCUGCGCGAGCACCGCGCCCACGCCCGUGUCGCAGGCGUCUGUCUCGAUCGUGAACGGCCGCGCAAAUUCUGGUAGGGCAAGGACUGGCGUGGUGACCAUCGAUUGCUUGAGCGUCUCGAACGCUGCUUGUGCUUGCGCCGUCCAGAAGAAGCCCUUCUUCGUCAGCAGCUGUGUGAGUGGCUUCGCGAUGAUGCCAUAGUGUGGGACGAACUUCCUGUAGUAGCCCGUGAGGCCGAGGAAGCCGCACAGCUCCGUGGCGUUCGUCGGUGUCGGCCACUGAUCCAUGGCCUACGUCUUCUCCUUAUCUGUGGCCACGCCCUCCUUGGAGAUCACAUGACCCAGGUAGUCGAUGUGAUCCGCAGCGAAAGUGCACUUGGAUUCCUUGACGAAAAGCUGGUGUGCCCGGAGCAGCUCGAAGACAAUGCGCAGGUGUUCCAGGUGCUCCUCCAUGGUUUCACUGAAGAGAAGGAUAUCGUCAAGGAAGAUGAUGACGAACUUGCGGACAUACUUACCAAACACGGAGUUCAUCAGGCACUGAAAUGUGGCAGGCGCGUUCGUCAGGCCGAACGGCAUGACUCUGAACUGAAAGUGUCCAUGGUGCGUCUUGAAUGCCGUCUUGAGCUCGUCCUCUUCCCGCAUUCUGAUUUGGUGGUAACCAGCGCGCAAGUCCAGCUUGGAGAACACUGCUGCGCCGGCCAAUUCAUCCAGGAGUUCGUCAAUGAUAGGAAGGGGAAACUUGUUCUUGAUGGUGGCGUCGUUGAGCCGGCGAUAGUCGACGCAGAACCGCCAAGUGCCGUCCUUCUUCACGAGCAGCACCGGCGCGGCAUAUGGACUGACGCUGUGCGUGAUCACGCCCGAAUCCAGCAUCUCCUUAACCUGACGCUCGAUUUCGUCCUUCUGCAGAGGCGAGUAGCGAUACGGGCGCGUGUUCGCGGGGACCGCGCCCUCCACCAGCGUGACAGCGUGGUCGUACUGUCGGUGCGGAGGGAGCCCUUUCGGUGCCGCGAACACGUCGGCGAACUCCUCGAGUAGGUCGGCGAGCGGGGUUUGGCUUGCACACUUGCGAGCCGGUCGCGGCGCGCCGUUGCAUGUGUCCACCAUGGCCAUGGCCUAAACGUCAUUUCCGGCCACCAUCUUGCGCAGCUCUUCGGGUCCUACGGCCUUGAUGGAGGUGGCCGGCUUGGUGGACACGCCGCGCAGGGUAACUUCUGCGCCGUCGUGCUGGAAUUUCACCCACUUGUCCUGCCAGUGGCAUGUCAUCGGACUGUUCUGGGCGAGCCAGUCCAUGCCCAGAAUGCCAUCGUACGCGCCGAUCUCUAGUUCGCGCAUGGGCGUGUUGAAGGUGUGACCCUGCAUCCACCACUUGAGGCCGGGCACCCUGCGCGUGCACGUGAGCUUGUCGCCGUUGGCCACCCGCACCUCCGUUGGCGGCAUUUCUUCCGUGGCGAGGCCGAGGCGAUCGACGAAGGCCUUGUUGACGAAACUGUGGGUGCUGCCCGAGUCGAGCAACAGGAGCAUGACCUGGUUCCCGACGAGGGCGCGCAACCGGAUCGUCGUUGUGGAGUCUGUGCCGUCGAGCGCCUGGGACGAGAGGAGGCAGCACUCUGGCGCGUCCGCGGCCGGAGCAGGAGAUUGCGCCGCUGGCCCCGGAUCGUCGAGCAGUUGCAAGGCGUGGAUGGUGUCGUCGGAUAGCACCUCGCCGUGGUCGCCCACGUUGAUGGUGAGCAACUGCGCGGGCUGGGCGCAGCGAUGCUCUCUGGAGUACCGAUCCCCACACUUGAAACAGAGGUUGUUCGCUCGGCGGAAGUCGCGCAGCUGCCUCUCCCGCGCGUACUCGUCCCCUUGGGCACGCGCCGGCGCGGCCACGGCGCGCUGUGGCGCGGCCGCGGCAGCUGUCGGUGGUGGUCGGCCAGCGGGUGUGAUGCGGGGGCGUGCACGGUACGUGCCCAGUUCUUCCUCCUGUAUGCGCGCGAGCACCGAGGCGCGCGUGAUGCUUGACGGCGCCUGGAGCCGCACCGGGGCACGCAGUUCGUCCUUCAGGCCGAGGAGGAAUUGCGUGACGAAGAACUUGGUGUUGAUGGACGGAUCGAGUGCGAGCAAGUGGUACAUCUGCUCGUCGAAGGCAGCACGGUACUCGGCGACGGUGCCUGUCUGCCGGAGUUGCAGGAGCUUGUGCAUCACCAUCUCGAACUCGUCGGCGCCAAACUCCUCCAGGAUCGCCGAUGUAAACACGUCCCACGUGAUGUUGCGAUGCGAUUGGCGGAACGCUUGGAGCCAGUGUGCUGCCCGGCCGUCGAUGUAGAGCGUGGCGGUGGCGACCCACUGGUGUGCAGCCAACUUGUAGAGCUCGAAGUAGGCGAGGCAGCGGUCCAGCCAUAAGUACGGCGCCGUUCCGUCGAACUUGGGGAAACCAUGUUUCGGGGGCUUGUGGUACUCGUUGGAGUGGUAGCCCGGCGGAGACGCGGUCGGAGCGGCGACGAACCCUCCCUGUGGCGGCACCGGAAGGAGGGGAGGGCGGUGAUCGCCCAGGCGCGCGUGCGACGACGACGGCCGGUACGGAUCCGGAGGCGGUGGGGGUUGCUGCGGUUGCGCGGGCUGGUGGAUGUGCGUGGUGACCGAGCCUGAUGGAGAGGAUCCUUCCGCCGUCUUGCGCGUGAGGUCGAGGUCCGCCUGCGUCAGAUCGAGCUGCCGCGCUAGGCCGCGCAUCUCUUGCGAGAUCUGCGCGUUGAAGGCGGCCUGGAGCUCGAUCUGCUUCUCGUGAGUCGCCUUCUGAUCGUCGAUCUUGGCGAGCAGCGACUCCAGCAUCUUGGUGAUGUUGGUGUUCCCCUCGUCCAUGGCGGCCAGCACUUGCCGCGUCGCCGCAGAAGCCUUGGAAGUAGCCGUCGUCCUGCUCGAGAGGGCGUCGAACCCCGCGACGGAUUUUGUGUGGUUCGCCGGAGCAAGCCACACCGGCGCGGUGGAUGUUACCGACCCCCAAACAAGUGAGGAACAAAAUUUUUCGGAAGAUUUGGUGGCUCUGAUUACCAGUUGUAACACCCCAGGAAGAGAGGGAGAGGGAGAGGAUCCAGAUCGCGCCGGGGGACGAGAGGUUGGCUUGGAGAGGAAGGAGGAGGAGAUGGAUUGCAGAGGGAAGAUUAAGAUUCAGAGUACAAUGCACGCAUACUCACACCCGGCCACAGGCGGCCAAUUUAACCCCACACACGCACGCCACUUGUCUGGCCAGCUGGCUGGGCCCACCAGCCAGCUCUUAGGCGCACUAACCACUGGUUAGGUGUGACAGGUGCACAGGUCAGGAGGCCAAAGCUAUUUGACAUGAUAAUACCAUUCAGGCAGGAUGGAGGUGGUGCACAUAGACGAGGACAGCAGCGACAGGCAAAGAGCUACAACUAUGGUAUUGCAGGUUAUACAGCAGGGUUCACGAUGCAUUCGUUGGAGCAUUUUGUCAAAUGACUUCUCAUGCAGCUCCUAGCUUUUCAGUUAAGCAUCUCUGUCUAUUGGAAUUCGCCCAAUGUAUGUGCUUGGGCUUUGUUUUGAUUGAUGGACCUUAAAGCUGAAGCAUUAAUGCAUGAACUUGCCAAAUGGAUGGAGCAACAGGCAUAGAAGAAAUCCACAACCAAUUUUUCUUGGCUGCGCCAUCUUCCGCUGACAGUAACUCUACACAACAGCCUGCUAAGGUAGGUAAGAGUGAUGAUAAUGUUACUUAAAGGAGGCCACAACUUGCACCAAAUAUAUGGGCAUGUGCAACGGCAACUUAUGUAGAUCGUUUCUAGGUGAUGCUGAUGAAUCAUGUAAGGAUGGCGCAUAACUCACCAGAGGGAAAAGAUCGAACUACGGUAACCAAAUCAAACAGAAGAGAAGGUCCAGUUGUCGUUGCCUUCACUUGCUUUGUCGUUUACCGAUCUGUUAGGUUGCCGGUUCCCCGACUUGCUAUCAAGGAGAGGGGAGAGAAAUAUGGAUUGGGAUUCUAGGUAAACUUUACUUAAUUUGUUGCAGAAAAUGCUCGGUAGAUGUCAUUUAUGGAUGAGGUUGUGGCAGUAGUUCUCGGGUGUUGUCUCUAUCUUGAUAAAGCCUUCUAUCAGGGCGCAUUAGAGGCUGAAGAAUAGAAAACAUUUGGGGUUUCUGUGGCAUUGAACAUUCAACGUUUAUGUACUAUGUACAUGCACGGCCAUGCACGACCAGUUCAGUAACUAGAUGGCCUUUUCUACUGUACCGGUUCUGCUACUUUUCACAUGUUAACUUCUUUGAAAAGCGCCAACAGUGUGUCCCACAUGUAAAUAGUCCCAUGUUACAAAGAACAUAACCAGAAGUGUGGGGAUGAUGUAUUAAUGGUCGGUCAGGGAAUUCAGUCUCGAUGAGCUUAACUAAUGACAUAUGUGAGUUGAGCAUGAGGUCAUUUUGAAAGUAACAGAAGUAUUUUACUUUCCUUUU